CCUACGGGAGGCAGCAGUGAGGAAUAUUGGUCAAUGGGCGAGAGCCUGAACCAGCCAAGUAGCGUGCAGGAUGACGGCCCUAUGGGUUGUAAACUGCUUUUAUACAGGGAUAAAGUCACCUACGUGUAGGUGUUUGUAGGUACUGUAUGAAUAAGGACCGGCUAAUUCCGUGCCAGCAGCCGCGGUAAUA
rnacentral:rRNA from 1 species